rnacentral:rRNA from 1 species
AAUGAACGCUGGCGGUAGGCCUAACACAUGCAAGUCGAACGGCAGCACAGUAAGAGCUUGCUCUUACGGGUGGCGAGUGGCGGACGGGUGAGGAAUACAUCGGAAUCUACUUUUUCGUGGGGGAUAACGUAGGGAAACUUACGCUAAUACCGCAUACGACCUACGGGUGAAAGCAGGGGAUCUUCGGACCUUGCGCGAUUGAAUGAGCCGAUGUCGGAUUAGCUAGUUGGCGGGGUAAAGGCCCACCAAGGCGACGAUCCGUAGCUGGUCUGAGAGGAUGAUCAGCCACACUGGAACUGAGACACGGUCCAGACUCCUACGGGAGGCAGCAGUGGGGAAUAUUGAACAAUGGGCGCAAGCCUGAUCCAGCCAUACCGCGUGGGUGAAGAAGGCCUUCGGGUUGUAAAGCCCUUUUGUUGGGAAAGAAAAGCAGCAGGUUAAUACCCCGCUGUUCUGACGGUACCCAAAGAAUAAGCACCGGCUAACUUCGUG